GAUGAACGCUGACAGCAUGCUUAACACAUGCAAGUCCACUUGAACUUCGGUUUGGGUGGCGGACGGGUGAGUAACGCUUAAAGAACUUGCCUCACAGAUAGGGACAACAUUUGGAAACGAAUGCUAAUACCUGAUAUUAUGAUUAUAUGGCAUCGUAUAAUUAUGAAAGCUAUAUGCGCUGUGAGAGAGCUUUGCGUCCCAUUAGCUAGUUGGAGAGGUAACGGCUCACCAAGGCGAUGAUGGGUAGCCGGCCUGAGAGGGUGAUCGGCCACAAGGGGACUGAGACACGGCCCUUACUCCUACGGGAGGCAGCAGUGGGGAAUAUUGGACAAUGGACCAAGAGUCUGAUCCAGCAAUUCUGUGUGCACGAUGAAGUUUUUCGGAAUGUAAAGUGCUUUCAGUUGGGAAGAAAAAAAUGACGGUACCAACAGAAGAAGUGACGGCUAAAUACGUG
rnacentral:rRNA from 1 species